ensembl:lncRNA
UAAUUUAUGACCAUAUUCUUUAGUGAUGCCAUCAUGCGUGCGUCAGGCAAAUGCGACUCGCUCGUGCUGAAUAUCUGCCUCUUCCUCCGCAGCAUGCGCCGCUAACUGCACCAUAUUGCGGAGAGGCAGGCAGCCCAUCACGGACGUAACUUUGAUUGACAGCGCUCCGUGUGCUGAUGUCAUUUCCCCUGCAGCUGGGAUGAGAAAUUCACAUCAGUACUCAGGAGCGAGCCUCUGUCAAUCCCAGUUAAAGACAGCAUCCCCAUCUUUCGCUGGCGCAAAGCUUUUGAUAUAGAGCUGGGCCGUAAAGCUUGAAAGAGAAGAAAUAUAUUCAGAUCACCUCAGCUGUGGGGCCGUCCCUGGGGCUCGUUUGACAUGCACACUUUUUACGGCCCCUAAGAAUGAUUCUAGCAGACGAGGCUUUGUGCCGGAUGGAAUCUCCCCACCUCCGAUAAGUCCAUGUAUCUUCUUUUAUUGGAGUAGGAAGGGGAAUGCCAAUGAAAUUUUUAUUCCGGGUGAUUUUCAGACGGACAGUGCGAGCUCCCGCGGGGUGGGCAGAAUGCGGCCCAGACGCGAGCGGCGCAGGCAAACGAUCCACAAAAACGGCAAGGGACGAAUCAAAGGAGAAGGGAGAUGUUCCGUUUCUCUGUUUCUUCUGCCAUUG